rnacentral:rRNA from 1 species
UAUAGAAGAAUUUUUAUACCAGGUUAUUAAUAGAUAAAAUCUUUAAAAUUAAAAAAUUUGGCGGUAUUUUAGUCUUUUCAGAGGAACCUGUUGUGUCAUUGAUAUUCCACGAUUAAUUGUACUUUUUUUUAGUUUGUAUAUCGUCGUUAUUGAAUAUUUUUUAAGAACUUGAAUGUUCAAAUUUCUUUUUAUGAAAAAAGUCAGAUCAAGAUGCAGCUUAUGGAAAAGAAUUGAUGGGUUACAAUAAUAAUAUUUAGAUGGAUUUAAAAUUGAAAAUUUAAAUGAAAGUGGAUUUGAAAGUAAUUAAUUUUAUUUAAUUUUAAUGAUUAAGCUCUAAAAUAUGU